UACAAGGGUGAUGUACUCUUGACAGAGG
rnacentral:misc_RNA from 1 species